rnacentral:rRNA from 1 species
AUUUGAAAGCUGGCCUUUGGUCCGCAUUGUAAUUUGUAGAGGAUGCUUUUAGGCAGCCGCCGGUCUAAGUUCCUUGGAACAGGACGUCAUAGAGGGUGAGAAUCCCGUAUGUGACCGGCUCUGGCACCUUAUGUAAAGCUCCUUCGACGAGUCGAGUUGUUUGGGAAUGCAGCUCUAAAUGGGAGGUAAAUUUCUUCUAAAGCUAAAUACUGGCGAGAGACCGAUAGCGCACAAGUAGAGUGAUCGAAAGAUGAAAAGCACUUUGGAAAGAGAGUUAAAAAGCACGUGAAAUUGUUGAAAGGGAAGCGCUUGCAAUCAGACUUGGACUUGGCUGUUCAACCGGUCUUCUGACCGGCCUACUCAGUCUUGUCCAGGCCAGCAUCAGUUUCGGCGGCCGGAUAAAGGCCCUGGGAAUGUGGCUGUCUCUUCGGAGGCAGUGUUAUAGCCCAGGGUGUAAUACGGCCAGCUGGGACUGAGGUCCGCGCUUCGGCUAGGAUGCUGGCGUAAUGGUUGUAAGCGGCCCGUCUUGAAACACGGACCAAGGAGUCUAACAUCUAUGCGAGUGUUAGGGUGUCAAACCCUUACGCGUAAUGAAAGUGAACGGAGGUGGGAACCCGCAAGGGUGCACCAUCGACCGAUCCUGAUGUCUUCGGAUGGAUUUGAGUAUGAGCAUAGCUGUUGGGACCCGAAAGAUGGUGAACUAUGCCUGAAUAGGGUGAAGCCAGAGGAAACUCUGGUGGAGG